UUUUAAUAUCAUUAUUGUAAAUCAUCAAAUUAUAUAUCACGUGGUUAAUUUCCUUAGAUGGUCACAUGAUUUACAUUUCCUAAUAUGGUACACAGAAAUAUCACAUGCAAUCCUUAUAUGGUUUAACUUCCUAAUAUGGUCGUCAUGCUAACCGUUCGACUACUUUUUCACUUGUAAAAUCUAAUCAAACACAAUGUACUUACAUACGAUGAACAUUCUUCCCCAUUCAGCACUAUAAUUUUCCCUUGCACUGUGUUACAUAGCUCUUUACUAGAUAUUGAUAGUUCGAAAACACAAGAGGCUUUCAUGCGCACAUUUUCAAUCUGAUCACUGUUCAUUAUAUGGUUCAUCAACACUCUGUUGAUAGAAGGAUCUAUCUCUCCACUAAAGAAUUUAAUGGCAUCAUCUCGACAAUCUAAUAUGUCUUCACUCCUAUAACAUUCAGCUGUAUUUGUUGCAACACUUCCCUCAUGGCUAAAUGACAAUAAACAACUCACGACAACAAUCAAAAACAUGGCGAUCAUCUUCAAUUUCUAUAGAGUGUGAAAAGGUGACGACACGUGAGUGAAUAAAGGAAAGCUUUUUAUUAUUUUUACCUGAUUAAAAGAACGAUUUUGUUUUAAAGAAAAAAAGAAUUUCAUCAUAUUUUGUUUUGUUUUCUUAUCACUUAUUUAAAUUUUAUUUAUUACUUAAAAACGAAUACUUUAUUACAAUUGAAUAUAUG
rnacentral:lncRNA from 1 species